rnacentral:misc_RNA from 1 species
CCGCUCCUCACGCCGUCAAAAUCUGAGAUCUGCAUCCAUGGCGGCCGAGACUGAGACUUUCGCCUUUCAGGCCGAGAUCAAUCAGCUUCUCAGCCUCAUCAUCAACACCUUCUACUCCAACAAGGAGAUUUUCCUCAGGGAGCUCAUCUCAAAUUCAUCCGAUGCGCUCGAUAAGAUCCGAUUUGAGGGUCUUACGGACAAGAGCAAGCUGGAGACCCAGCCUGAGCUGUUCAUCCACAUCGUGCCUGAUAAGGCAUCGAACACCCUCUCUAUCAUUGAUAGUGGGAUUGGGAUGACCAAGGCGGAUCUGGUUAAUAACCUUGGGACGAUUGCGAGGUCAGGGACGAAGGAGUUCAUGGAGGCGCUCGCGGCGGGUGCGGAUGUGAGCAUGAUUGGGCAAUUUGGAGUCGGGUUUUACUCCGCGUACCUUGCGGCGGAGCGGGUGGUGGUGACGACCAAGCAUAAUGAUGAUGAGCAGUAUGUGUGGGAGUCGCAGGCUGGCGGUUCGUUUACGGUGACGAGGGAUGAGGAGGGGGAGAGGCUUGGGAGGGGGACUAAGAUCACUCUCUUUCUUAAGGAGGAUCAGUUGGAGUACCUUGAGGAGCGCCGCCUGAAGGAUCUCAUUAAGAAGCAUUCUGAAUUCAUUAGUUACCCAAUCUCCCUAUGGGUUGAGAAGACCACUGAGAAGGAGAUUUCUGAUGAUGAGGAUGAGGAAGACAAGAAAGACGAAGAGGGGAAAGUUGAGGAUGUUGAUGAAGAGAAGGAAGAGAAGGAGAAAAAAAAGAAGAAGAUAAAGGAAGUCUCACACGAGUGGGAAUUGGUUAACAAACAGAAGCCCAUCUGGAUGAGGAAACCUGAGGAGAUCUCGAAGGAAGAGUAUGCUGCUUUCUAC